rnacentral:rRNA from 1 species
GACGAACGCUGGCGGCGUGCUUAACACAUGCAAGUCGAACGGAAAGGCCCUGCUUUUGUGGGGUGCUCGAGUGGCGAACGGGUGAGUAACACGUGAGUAACCUGCCCUUGACUUUGGGAUAACUUCAGGAAACUGGGGCUAAUACCGGAUAGGAGCUCCUGCUGCAUGGUGGGGGUUGGAAAGUUCCGGCGGUUGGGGAUGGACUCGCGGCUUAUCAGCUUGUUGGUGGGGUAGUGGCUUACCAAGGCUUUGACGGGUAGCCGGCCUGAGAGGGUGACCGGCCACAUUGGGGCUGUGAUACGGCCCAGACUCCUACGGGAGGCAGCAGUGGGGAAUAUUGCACAAUGGGCGGAAGCCUGAUGCAGCAACGCCGCGUGCGGGAUGACGGCCUUCGGGUUGUAAACCGCUUUCGCCUGUGACGAAGCGUGAGUGACGGUAAUGGGUAAAGAAGCACCGGCUAACUACGUG